rnacentral:rRNA from 1 species
UACAGAGGGGGCAAGCGUUAUUCGGAAUUAUUGGGCGUAAAGGGCGCGUAGGCGGCCUUGCAAGUGACGGGUGAAAUCCCUCGGCUUAACCGAGGAACUGCCUGUCAGACUGCUGGGCUUGAGACCGGGAGAGGUGAGUGGAAUUCCCAGUGUAGCGGUGAAAUGCGUAGAUAUUGGGAGGAACACCAGUGGCGAAGGCGGCUCACUGGCCCGGUACUGACGCUGAGGUGCGAAAGCGUGGGGAGCGAACAGG